GCAGUGGAACACCAAGGUCUGGAGCAGUGGAACACCAAGGUCUGGAGCAGUGGAACACCAAGGUCUGGAGCAGUGGAACACCAAGGUCUGGAGCAGUAGAACACCAAGGUCUGGAGCAGUGGAACACCAAGGUCUGGAGCAGUAGAACACCUAGGUCUGGAGCAGUGGAACACCAAGGUCUGGAGCAGUGGAACACCAAGGUCUGGAGCAGUGGAACACCAAGGUCUGGAGCAGUAGAACACCAAGGUCUGGAGCAGUGGAACACCAAGGUCUGGAGCAGUGGAACACCAAGGUCUGGAGCAGUGGAACACCAAGGUCUGGAGCAGUGGAACACCAAGGUCUGGAGCAGUAGAACACCAAGGUCUG
rnacentral:lncRNA from 1 species